rnacentral:rRNA from 1 species
UACAGAGGGUGCAAACGUUGCUCGGAAUUAUUGGGCGUAAAGCGCGUGUAGGCGGCUUGUUAAGUUGGUUGUGAAAACCCAUGGCUCAACCAUGGAAGUGCGUCCAAAACUGGCAAGCUAGAGUUCUGACGAGGAUGGCGGAAUUCCCAGUGUAGAGGUGAAAUUCGUAGAUAUUGGGAGGAACACCGGUGGCGAAGGCGGCUCUCUGGACCGAGACUGACGCUGAGGCGCGAAAGCGUGGGGAGCAAACAGG